AAAAACUGUGUUUGCUUUGAACAAACUCUGUCCUGCGCCGAACUUGUUCUUAUAAAAAAGGGAAGUGUCUUGUAAUGCUAAUACGCGUACUGAAUCCGCAUAUGAUGACUAAGAGAUUGAUUCAUGUCCCUAUUUUAUGAAUACUUGAGCUAUUGUGUGUCGCUUUUAAAAGUUAUAUAAGGAUCAUGACUGAUUUUGAAUUACAACAUUAGAAAAUUGGCAUUGCAUUGUAUAAUUUUUCAUCCUUCCCUUAAAAAAUUAAUGAGUUAACUUUUUUACCAGGAUUAUCCCACUAAAAAAAUGUUCAUGCACCAAACUGACUUUGUUUUACACUCAAUUUUUUUUUAAACCUCGCAUUCGCCUCGGGUGACUAUAGUAUAUU
rnacentral:lncRNA from 1 species